GUAUUAGUAUCUGCAAAACAACUCAAGGAUAUCCUUCAGAAUAUUAUCUAUAGUUCUGGAGGAGGAACUAAAGGCCCUUGGCUUUGUUUUAUGGUUGAACUAUUAUUAUUUUGCCGUGCUUAAUUGUUUUCCUUUGUUUCUGGUUUUUCUCAUUUCUCUGAUUAAAUUUGCUUUUUAGAACUAAGGGAAGGCCUGGGAAGCUAAAACUUUUCUACAGAACAAAUAAAAUUAUUUGUGCAAUAUUUUUGGAAGGCACAGGAAGAAGUGAAAGAUUCCUAACAUCUUUUAAAUAGCCUAAUGGACUAUAACCCGCCAGACUCCUCUGUCCAUGGGAUUCUCCACUCAAGAAUACUGGAGUGGGUUGCCAUGCCCUCCUCCAGGGAAUUUUCCCAACCCAGGGAUUGAACCCGUGUCUCCUGCAUCUCCUGCAUUGGCAGGUCGAUUCUUUACCACUAGUGCCACCAAGCAACCCCAGUGUGAUGGGUUAUAUAUUUAUAUUUGAUUUUCUCUGAUUGGUCCUCUGUUGGAAGCAGGGACAAAAAUUAGGGAAGCUGAGAAUUAUUAUCUAAGUUCUGGCCAUUUUAGGCUGAUUGUAACAGGAGCUGUUGUUUAGCUUCCUGGAAGGUGUGCUAGAGAUAGUGAAUGUUCUGACUUUGUACAUGGCUUUCUUGUGGCUACUAUGUUGAAUUCCUGGCUGGUUACUCUAAAUAAUGCUGUGGGUUUUUGGGCUGCUUGCUGUGUAGAUCAUGUGUCAAGAGUUCUAUCCUUAUGCAUGGUCUGGUCAUUGUCAAAUUGUAUCUUCAGUCUCGCACAUUUAAGUGGCAAACUUAAAAUGUUAUUGUUCAAAAAGCUUUUAUUAGUUUUAGCU
ensembl:lncRNA